GAGUUUGAUCGUGGCUCAGAUUGAACGCUGGCGGCAUGCCUUACACAUGCAAGUCGAACGGCAGCACGGGAGCUUGCUCCUGGUGGCGAGUGGCGAACGGGUGAGUAAUGCAUCGGAACGUAUCCUGGAGUGGGGGAUAACGUAGCGAAAGUUACGCUAAUACCGCAUAUUCUGUGAGCAGGAAAGCGGGGGACCUUCGGGCCUCGCGCUCUUGGAGCGGCCGAUGUCGGAUUAGCUAGUUGGUGAGGUAAAGGCUCACCAAGGCGACGAUCCGUAGCAGGUCUGAGAGGAUGAUCUGCCACACUGGAACUGAGACACGGUCCAGACUCCUACGGGAGGCAGCAGUGGGAAUUUUGGACAAUGGGGGCAACCCUGAUCCAGCCAUGCCGCGUGAGUGAAGAAGGCCUCGGUGU
rnacentral:rRNA from 1 species